rnacentral:rRNA from 1 species
AGAGUUUGAUCCUGGCUCAGAAUGAACGCUGGCGGCGUGCUUAACACAUGCAAGUCGCACGAGAACGCUUCAGCUUGCUGAAGUUAGUAAAGUGGCGCACGGGUGAGUAACGCGUGGGUAAUCUACCCCCGAAUUGGGGAUAACAUUGCGAAAGCGAUGCUAAUACCGAAUGAUAUCUUAAGAACCUCGGUUUUUAAGAUCAAAGGUGGCCUCUACAUGAAAGCUUCUGUUUGGGGAUGAGCCCGCGUACCAUUAGCUUGUUGGUAGGGUAAUGGCCUACCAAGGCUACGAUGGUUAGCUGGUCUGAGAGGAUGAUCAGCCACACUGGAACUGACACACGGUCCAGACUCCUACGGGAGGCAGCAGUGAGGAAUUUUGCGCAAUGGGGGUAACCCUGACGCAGCAACGCCGCGUGAGUGAAGAAGGCCUUUGGGUCGUAAAGCUCUGUCAAGUGGGAAGAACCAGUAGAGGGUUAAUAUCCCUUUACCUUGACGGUACCCAUGAAGGAAGAACCGGCUAACUCCGUGCCAGCAGCCGCGGUAAUACGGGGGGUGCAAGCGUUAUUCGGAAUUAUUGGGCGUAAAGGGCGUGUAGGCGUCCUGAUAAGUCAGAUGUGGAAGCCUUGGGCUUAACCCAAGAAGUGCAUUUGAAACUGUCAGGAUUGAGUCGUGCAAGGGAGGGCGGAAUUCCUGGUGUAGCGGUGAAAUGCGUAGAUAUCAGGAGGAAGGCCGGUGGUGAAGACGGCCCUCUAGGCAAUGACUGACGCUGAGGCGCGAAAGCGUGGGUAGCAAACAGGAUUAGAUACCCUGGUAGUCCACGCCCUAAACGGUGCGUACUAGGUGUGGGUGGCGAUAGUCAUCCGUGCCGUAGGGAAACCAUUAAGUACGCCGCCUGGGGAGUACGGCCGCAAGGUUGAAACUCAAAUGAAUUGACGGGGGCCCGCACAAGCGGUGGAGCAUGUGGUUUAAUUCGACGCUACGCGCAAAACCUUACCUGGGCUUGACAUGUUAGUAGUAGUGAACCGAAAGGGGAACGAUUCCUAGCAAUAGGAAAGCUAUCACAGGUGCUGCAUGGCUGUCGUCAGCUCGUGCCGUGAGGUGUUGGGUUAAGUCCCGCAACGAGCGCAACCCUCAUCCUCUGUUGCCCUUAACGGGGAUCUCUGAGGAAACUGCCGGCGAAGAGCUGGAGGAAGGUGGGGACGACGUCAAGUCCGCAUGGCCCUUAUGCCCAGGGCUACACACGUGCUACAAUGGCAGGUACAAAGGGACGCCAAGCCGCGAGGUGGAGCCAAUCCCACAAAGUCUAUCCAAGUUGGGAUCGGAGUCUGCAACUCGACUCCGUGAACCUGGAAUCGCUAGUAAUCGUGGAUCAGCACGCCACGGUGAAUACGUUCCCGGGCCUUGUACACAUCGCCCGUCACACCACGAAAGUCUGUUGUACCCGAAGUAGGUGAGCCAACCCGCAAGGGAGGCAGCUUCCUAAGGUAUGGCCGGUAAUUGGGGUGAAGUCGUAACAAGGUAACC